GACGAACCGAGCGAACGUUGUUCGGAAUCACUGGGCUUAAAGGGCGCGUAGGCGGGUGCUCAAGUCCGGGGUGAAAUCCUCCAGCUCAACUGGAGAACUGCCUCGGAUACUGGGUGCCUCGAGGGUGGUAGGGGUAUGCGGAACUAUCGGUGGAGCGGUGAAAUGCGUUGAUAUCGAUAGGAACUCCGGUGUCGAAGGCGGCAUACUGGACCACAUCUGACGCUGAGGCGCGAAAGCCAGGGGAGCAAACGGG
rnacentral:rRNA from 1 species